AAGAAAUUAUAUUCAAUAAAUGUGAGGAGCUGCUCCACAUGGAUCAUAGGAGACGAUUUAUGGACCUUUCUGAACACUUUCAGCGCUCUCUCUCUCUCUGUGCUAGUGGGAGUGGCCUAGCGACCCUAACCUAACCUCAAAGUGAAAUGACAUUAACCCCUUUGGUAAGACCACCAGAUCAUGUUAAAGAACGAAAUAUUAUCAGAAAUAUCUGAGCAAACCUUUAACGUAGAAACACGUGUCAACAAGUACACGCACUAUCUCAUUUCUGAAAAACAGAUUCUAUUGAGAACUUUGCCAGACCAAUCACAUCCCCAAACACACAUUCCCGGAGGGGGAGGUGCCAUUAUAAAUAGCUUGCUGCCCACAAGACCAUAUUCACAUCCAGCAGAAUUUCUGGACCGUUCACAUCUGUCCUCCACACUUGCCAGUUGCCUCAUCAUGCGCCACCUGCUGAUACCCUUGACAAUGGUGGUCCUCCUCCUCAUCUCCGUGAGCUGCACGUCUGCUCUACAGGGUCGUGACAGUGGCUAUGACAUACCUCAAGCUCCACCCGUCGGGAUUGCUGGCAGUAGUCUGAAUUUCUUCAAGGGUAUGCUGGCACCACACUUGGUGGGCGUCGUAAAGCCAGUGGAGUCCUCACCACAGGAUCAGAAAUUAAUCCGAAACUAGCAAAAAUGCUUCCAGAAAGUCUGCUUUUACCAUAUCCGGUCUUCAUCCUUUUGUUCUUUAUGUUUUGCUUUCAUUUAUUCCACUCAAAUAGUUUGUAAUCAGUGUCAGUGUACAGACUACAACAUCGCACUUUCAGCAACCGCUUUGAAACACCAAAAAUAAUCUUGUUAAAAUACACUGUCACUGCUGUAUGUUGUGAAAUACUAUACAGCAGUAAUAUACAGUAGUAGUAUACAGCAAUGAUACACUGCAGUGAUAGAAAUCAGUGAUAGUCUGCAAUAAUAUACAACAAUAAUAUACAACAAUAAUAGACAACAAUAAUAUACAACAAUAAUAUACAACAAUAAUAUACAACAAUAAUAUACAACAAUAAUAUACAACAAUAAUAUACAACAAUAAUAUGCAACAAUAAUACAGCAGUAAUACACACACACUCCAGCGAUAAGCACGAUACCUAGCAAACAACACUGAGCUGCUCCUUGCGUCUGUUCUGUUGCUGCUCAUGGCGAGAUGAUGUCUACCUGCUGACAGACCAGAGGUUGUUUACCUGCUGACAGACCAGAGGUUGUUUACCUGCUGACAGACCAGAGGUUGUUUACCUGCUGACAGACCAGAGGUUGUUUACCUGCUGACAGACCAGAGGUUGUUUACCUGCUGACAGACCAGAGGAUGUUUAUCCGCGAUAAACAAUGCUUUUUUUGCUUUGAGUUUAGUUUUGAGCCUGCACUUGCUUGCACCAUUGUAUUGUCAAUCCAUUAUAUCAAAUCUUCAUUAUUGAUAAACUUCAGCCUGUAGCCUUACUGUUUCUAUUACAGUUUUCUAUUUUUGUAUCUUGCAGUUUUCAUUCUGAACUUUUGUGCACAAAUGUGUAGAAGCCAAUGUCUAAGAAAUUCAUUCUAGAUAAUCUUUUCAAGUUCUCAGUAUCUGUUAGACAUCAUUUAUAUUAAUGAAUAUAAUUAUAAGUACUAAUUAUCAUGCCUUGUAUAAAGACCUCAAUGGCAGACGAACCUUACAUACAGUCCACAGCACAAAGCACACAAUCAGGGCAAAACUCACACACACCAGCAGCCUUGUCCAUUCUAGUUUAAUUAAAAGUUUUUAACAGGCGUGCUUUGCUAUUCUUGAAGAUUUAUAGAAAUAAUCUAAUAAAGAAAAAAAAACCUU
rnacentral:lncRNA from 1 species